GGGGGGAUGUAUGAGAGGAGAUCUGAGCCAAGGAUGUAGCUUAAUUUAUUUAUUUUACUUUUUAUUCUCGGUUUGUUGGCAUUUGCUAAUAUAAUGUGUAUUCAACAAUAAAUUAUAGUUGUUUGUCUUAAGCUUAAAUGGUCUUAUUAUCAGUUGAUGUGUUCAUGUAGUUAGGUACUAAAUCAGCAUAUGCUAUCUUCACCCAUUCUUUUUUUUUUUUUGUUUUCCACUUUUAUGCAAUUUCAUUGGAAUAUUUUUUAAGUCUAUAUUUUGUUUAGAUAUUUUGACCGAAAGUACAAGUGACAGAUUGAUCUUGCCAUCUUGGAUACUUGGCUGACUGGUUCACUUGGUUACUUUUUGAUAGUUGGUUUGUUCUCUUGUUAGUUCAGCACACGAAUGCACAUGGGUUAUCAGGUUUGUGUAUUUAUCAAUGGAAAAUAUUAUUGCGUUCCUACAUGCACUAUGCUUUUACAUACAUAUAGUAUGUAUAAAAAAACAUUCUUCCAUGAUGAUUACUUUAACUUUUGUAAAUUAAAACUAUUAUAGAAAACCCCAAAAAGGAUUAUUUUCAAGGUCAUGAAAGCGUACUCAAAGGUCCUCCUCCAUCACUUCAAGUGUCAAAGGUUGUGAACUAUGUAUCUUGGUACACUUCUUUCUAUCCCUCAAGGCCUCAACAUGUUGUUCUCCACUUCUUUUUUGGGUAUAAGUUAUUUUCUCCAUGUUUAUGAUUAUCAUUAUGAUUAUUGAUGGUAAGGCCUAGCUCUCUCCGCAUUCAGUUACUUGAAUCAACUGGUGUGCUUACUUUUGUGCUUUUAAUAUAUUUUAUCGCUUUCAUAUUGUACUUACAAGUUUAAUGAUCAGCUAUAUUCUUUUAAUAUUAUGGAACGUAUGGUGACUAAAUCUAGCAUGCAAAAACUUUUCUCCUUUUUAGAAAAGAUAGUAUUCUAAUGCAUGAAAUAACUAGUGAUCGAGGAGGUUUUAUAUUCAUAUCUGAAAGUUCUAGCUUUGAUGUUGCUUAUUAUUUGUGACUACAAGAGUUUUUUUAAUUUUCAUUUGGCUAGAUAGGUAGGGUGAUUUUUGAUACAAUAGCAUGUAGUAGUAUUAUCUUUCGGAAUUAAAUACUUCAUAAAAUUAUACUAUUGUUAGAUAUUGAGUUUUAUUUGUGAGUUGAAUUACAAUAACUCUUUAGCACACUGUAUUAUUACCAUGAGAUAUUUUCUGUUCUAUGAAUUCAUCUACUAAGAUUAAGGACAAAUAAAAUAAGGAAUCAAGGAUAGUUUUGCAUAAGUAUUGUAGAGUAUAUUUGGUAACUGUGACAUGGUAUAACUUUGUUUGUUUCCUUGAUUUAUAAGUCUUUGCAAAUUACAUAUACAAAUACACUUAUAAAAAAGUACAGUUUAUGCAAAAGCGGUGACAGUAACAAACCAAAAAUUUGAGAAAGAAAAAUAUAUAUAUUACCUAGGUUGAGUGUCAUUUCAAAUAUAAGGUGCUCUUCCAGACAGAGUAACAUAAAAUCGUCAAUGGUACUUGGCUGAUCAAGCAUUAGAAGUUCGUUGAUUAACUUUUGAUUGGGAAGUUAUAGAGUUAGUACCAUCUUGAGCUAACUAUAUCUUGAAUAAAAUUUUAUGUUUGUUUAUAUCUUCUCCAAUAUUUCGUGAACUCUAAAUUAUUUUCGUUUGUUGACUCUGGUAGAAGCUGAUCAUUCAUCAAAGGGAGAUUCAAAAGAACCCCAUGACCGAGUUUUUUAGGAUCACUAUGUGGAUGCAAGAUUAUACACUAACAAAACGACAUCAAAAUUCAAAAUAUUGGGCCCGUGCUAUGCACGUACCGAGCCUUAUAGGGCCAGACAUUUAUUUUACUUUCUAUAUUGAAGGAGUUGAGUCAGUAU